rnacentral:misc_RNA from 1 species
GAAAUGCGAUAAGUAGUGUGAAUUGCAGAAUUCAGUGAAUCAUCGAAUCUUUGAACGCACAUUGCGCCCUUUGGUAUUCCAUAGGGCAUGCCUGUUCGAGCGUCGUUUCAAACCUUCAAGCCUAGCUUGGUGUUGGGUGACUGUCCUGCGGAACUCCCGCGGACUCGCCUUAAAUCUAUUGGCAGCAGACAUUGUAGCUAAUUGCGCAGCACAUCGCGCCUUAAGCUCGGUGCCGGCUAUCCACGAGCCUUGUCUCACCAGUUUGACCUCGGAUCAGGUAGGGAUACCCGCUGAACUUAA